rnacentral:rRNA from 1 species
CCUAAGGUUUCCCGGGGAAGGUUCGUCCGCCCGGGGUUAGUCGGAACCUAAGGCGAGGCCGAAAGGCGUAGUCGAUGGAGGACAGGUUAAUAUUCCUGUACCACCUUGUUGGAGUGAUGGAGGGACGCAGUAAGUCAGGUGAGCCAACUGCUGAAUAUGUUGGUCGAAGGCCGUAGGGCGCACGAUAGGCAAAUCCGUCGUGCUUUCAACCCGAGAGUCGUAAGGUAGCCGAACGCAAGUUUGGCGAAUUCACUGUGACGACGCUGACGAGAAAAGCUUCUAAACGUUGAAAACAGGGUGCCCGUACCGAAACCGACACAGGUAGGUGAGGCGAGUAGCCUAAGGUGCGCGAGAGAAACCAACGUUAAGGAACUCGGCAAAUUGACCCCGUAACUUAGGGAUAAGGGGUGCCGCUUCAGGUGAAGGGACUUGCUCCCGGAGCCCGGAGCGGUUGCAACAAAGAGGCUGGUGCGACUGUUUAACAAAAACACAGCUCUAUGCUAACUCGCAAGAGGAUGUAUAUGGAGUGACACGUGACCAAUGCCAAAAGGUCAAUGGGAGAGGUUAGCGCAAGCGAAGCUUCGAUCUGAAGCCCUGGUGAAUGUCGGCCGUAACUAUAACGGUCCUAAGGUAGCGAAAUUCCUUGUCGGGUAAGUUCCGACCUGCACGAAUCGUGUAACGAUGCCAGCACUGUCUCAACGUGGAUCUCGGCGAAGUUGUAAUUCCGGUGAAAAUGCCGGAUACCUGCGGAAGGACGGAAAGACCCCAUGAACCUUUACUGUAAUCUGAUAUUGGUAUUUGAUUGCUCUUGUGUAGCAUAGGUGGGAGGCAGUGAAACCGCUACGCCAGUACCGGUGGAGCCACAGGUGAAAUACCACCCUGGUGUAAUUAGAUAUCUAACGGUGUCCCGUGAAUCCGGGCCCCGGACCGUGUCAGAGGGUCAGUUUGACUGGGGCGGUUUCCUCCUAAAUUGUAACGGAGGAGCCCGAAGGUACACUCAGCACGGUUGGCAAUCGUGUGCAGAGCGUAAGGGUAGAAGUGUGCUUUACUGUAAGACCGACAGGUCGAGCAGUUGCGAAAGCAGGGCCUAGUGAUCCAGCGAUGGAAUGUGGAAUCGUCGUUGCUCAACGGAUAAAAGGUACUCUGGGGAUAACAGGCUGAUAGCGCCCAAGCGUCCAUAGCGACGGCGCUGUUUGGCACCUCGAUGUCGACUCAUCACAUCCUGGGGCUGUAGAAGGUCCCAAGGGUUCG